rnacentral:rRNA from 1 species
UGGCGAACGGGUGCGUAACACGUGGGCAACCUGCCCCAGACUCUGGGAUAACCCCGGGAAACCGGAGCUAAUACCGGAUACUUUCACGGAACCACAUGGCUCUGUGAUGAAAGAACUUCGGUCUGGGAUGGGCCCGCGGCCUAUCAGCUUGUUGGUGAGGUAACGGCUCACCAAGGCGACGACGGGUAGCUGGUCUGAGAGGACGGCCAGCCACACGGGGACUGAGACACGGCCCCG